GAAAAAUGUUGCCGAUGUCCAAAGUGAUUGCCAUCACUCUAAGAAGGCGGCCUGCGCAUCACGUGGCUCAGAGUCAGCAAAAGAGUUAACCUUCUUCGUGGACUUCUGUCGUGAGAAAUUACCUGGAC